UGUAUGUGGACUUGGAUGUUGCCGUGAAUAAACAAACGGCUCGUCUGAAAUGCCUGAGUGUACCCCGCUUUGCGGCGUAUUCGGUGUGAUAAAUCUUCACCGGAGUUGAUCCCUUUAUGGGGUCGCGUCUGUAAUGGUGUGGCUCUAUGCUUCGAACCGUCUCCUAUCGAGACAAAUCUCUGACAAUUUGACCUCAAAUCGGGUGGGACUACCCGCUGAACUUAAGCAUAUCAAUAAGCGGAGGAAAAGAAACUAACAAGGAUUCCCCUAGUAACGGCGAGUGAAGAGGGAAAAGCUCAAAUUUUGAAUCUGGUGUCUUUGACUCCCGAGUUGUAAUCUAGAGAAGUGUUUUCCGUGUCGGACCGUGCACAAGUUCCCUGGAACGGGGCGUCAUAGAGGGUGAGAAUCCCGUAUAUGGCAUGGACUACCGAUGCUUUUGUGAUACACUCUCAACGAGUCGAGUUGUUUGGGAAUGCAGCUCAAAAUGGGUGGUAAAUUCCAUCUAAAGCUAAAUAUUGGCGAGAGACCGAUAGCGAACAAGUACCGUGAGGGAAAGAUGAAAAGCACUUUGGAAAGAGAGUGAAACAGUACGUGAAAUUGUUGAAAGGGAAGCGUUUGAAGUCAGUCGUAUCUGGMGGGAUUCAGCCGGGCUUUUGCCAGGUGUACUUCUCGUCCGAUGGGUCAGCAUCAAUUUCGACCGGGGGAAAAAGACGUGUGGAAUGUGGCUGUCUUCGGGCAGUGUUAUAGCCAUGCGUAGUAUGCCUCGGUUGGGAUUGAGGAACGCAGCGCGCCUAUAGGCCAGGGGUUCGCCUCUUGACACGCGC
rnacentral:rRNA from 1 species